rnacentral:lncRNA from 1 species
UCCGGUACGAGCACCAUUAAGUCAUGCUAAAUUACUGAAAUCCUCAUAAUUCUAGCAUUUUAGUUAAAUUUUAGACGGUUUUCGUGUAAAACGAAAGUGGCCGCAUUUGUGUUCAUCCUUAAUAUUGAAAUGCAAGUUGUAUUUUAUGAUAAUACAUAACAUAUAUAAAGGUUGAGGAUGAACACGGAUGCGGCCACUUUCAUUUUUACCAAAAACCAUCUGAAAAGUGACAUUUUUCGGC